rnacentral:lncRNA from 1 species
GUCUCUGCCUGUCUGACAUUGAGUGCCUGGAGCCCUCCCUAGCUCUCCAGCUGGAACCUUCCUCUGUAGGAAGGCUGAGGCUAGCAGGGAGAAGCCAGGAUGGAUUUUAAAGAGCCUUGUUGUCUCUAAGGAAGAGUGGAGCUUACAUCUUUGGGUUUGCAGAAAUGCCCACAUUCAACUCAGGGGGAAUAAAAGGAUGGGAGUUAGAAUUUCAACUUGCAGUUGCAGAAUCUCAGAGUUAAAAGAAACCUCAGAGGUCAUCUCUUCCAACCCUUCUCCAGAGCAGCUUUAAUUGCCUGUGUGGGAGAUUCAGGGCCAGCAGCUGCAGCUUCCCUUUCCCUGCCUCUGACUUGCCAGAAUCCUGUUACACCUGGGAUUUAGGCACUUUCAAUCUGAAAAAAUACAUAUCCUUUCAGCACUCUGGACGGACUUGAGAACUGUCCUUACGUGACCUAAAGCUGGAGUAUUUUGAGAUUGGAGAAUUAAGAGCCAGUCUUGGUGCUCUGUGUUCACCUGGUUCAUCUGAGGAGCUGCAUCUACCCUGCCCAUGCCAUAGAUCCUGCCCUGUUUGCUUCUCCUGUUGCUGCUAGUGGACAUGAGAAGGACAGAAUAACGGGCUCCCAGAUUCACAAGCCCCACCAAGAGGAUCACCCCAGGAACGCUUGGAGGCUGAGGAGUUCACUGAGGCUACUGCAUCUUGAGACUCAGGAUGAAGACCCAGCUUGGGGCUGUCAAAGGUUUUUUGCAUGUCUGACACCCAUGACUCCACCUGGACCUUAUGGCUCCACCCAGAAGCAAUUCAGCCCAACAGGAGGACAGCUUCAACCCAUUACGAUUUCAUCUCUGCCCCAACCACUCAGCAGCAAGCACCUGUUACCUGUCCACCCCCACCCCUUCCCCCAAACUGCCUUUGAAAAAUCCCUAACCUAUGAGCUUUGAAUAAGAUGAGUACGAACUUCAUCGCCCACGUGGCGUGGCCGGCCUCGUGUCUAUUAAAUUCUUUUUCUACUACAA